rnacentral:misc_RNA from 1 species
AUUGUAAUGUAAAUGGAGCGGGGAUUGGAGCGGUUCUAUCCUAAGCAAGGAGGCCCAUGGCAUACUUUAGUGAAAGCCUAAGUGAUGUUAGGAGAAAUUGGAGCACCGAAGAGUUCUAUUUGGUCGUGCAUGCUUUUAAGACAUGAGAGCAUUACUAGAUAGGCAAAAAGUUCAUCUUGUAUUCGAAUCACGAGGCCUUGAAGUACCUAAAU